rnacentral:rRNA from 1 species
UACGGAGGGGGCCUAGCGUUGUUUCGGAAUUGACUAGGGGCGUAAAGGGCUCGUAGGCGGCCAACUAAGUCAGACGGUGAAAUACCCUCGGCGUUAACCGGGAACUGCGUACUGAUACCGGAUGGCUUGACGUUUGGGAGAUGGGAGCGGAAGUUCCAGGUGUAGGCGGUUGAAAUGCGGUAAGAUAUCGGAAAGGAACAUCAGUGGCGAAAGCGGACUUCCAUGG